rnacentral:rRNA from 1 species
UGAGGUGUGGAGGGUGGGUGGAUGGAGCGAAGGCGGCAACUGGUAUCGGACUCGUCCUAGAAACUCUACCUCCUUCUUCGAGACUCCCGCCGCUACCUUCUGCGGAAAGACCUCCCACGCCAACUUACCGCUCGCCUGUGGUAGGAGGUCUGGGACGCCUACCUGUUCGACCUACGCACCUAGGCGCCUCUCCCCGAACGGCUACUCUAGCUCCCCGAGUUUAGACUCUAGCUACUUCAGUACCGCCGCCAUAGGAUACAGUUCCCCUCCCGCCAUCCGUUGUCCGCCUACCGCUCCAGAGAGCGCCGCGAGUUCGUCUUCGAGAAGCUGCGGCUACUGCGACAGCUGCUCGAGCUGAUGAUGUCUGAAGUUGUGGUACAGCAGCUCCAGCUUCCUCCGGUUGUGCGCGACGGCAGAAGUAGGUUGCGCGUGUUAGCGAAGCGAAGGCUACCACAAUGGGUCAGAAAGUGGUGUCGGUGUUGCUGAUGGCGACGUCAGUGAAACGUCCUCGGUCUUCCGUACGUACUUCGUCGCGCUCAUCUAGUACCGUGUAGCUACCCGCUACCACUAUUAUAUGAUGGCUCUUCUCCAGUAUCGUUCUUUGCCAGGUUCCGUACCCUACCAAAACUGCUCUCUAUACUGUGACUACCUUUCUGGCACCCCCGUCUUACAUCUGUGACAUUUUUCUUUGAAUUUAUGCUGCCAUUUGUUCCCGGUUCUCAGAACUACUGAGUGAGGUUAUCACGGUUCACAUUCUUAUGCGCUCUUGGUGCAGAGGUCGGCGGUUCGGUAAGUUCGUACCUACUACGAUGACUUUUACGAUGGGGGCAACGACAGUCAUUAAGUGGGUCGUAUGGUUCCUACCCUUGCUUAGGUCUCGGUUGUGUUUAGUGGCGUCGACAACGAGUGGGAACCUUAUUCCUGCUUUAAAGGUCAUUCUAUGUCUUUUAUUGAGUAGUCAACGUUCCGUAGGCUCCCCUACACUGUUUCCUAGAGUUGUACGAACCCAGUGUAAUACCACGUUCAAGUCGAGUGGUAGUUUCAUGUCGGAGUCUAGGUUCGGCUUCUUGUAGUUCAGAAGAAGUUCCGUUUCACAUACCCUCUCUGUUUCUCUUCUUGUGGUAGUAUGUCGACUACUGACGACCCUUUAGACUGUCAAACUGACAACACGGGUAACAUCCGUAACCUCCAUGACCCUUCUGCCGAGAGCGCGUUAGACAUAUAUUACUAGGCUUUCACGUUUUGGUUAAACUGGUGUCGUAUACCUAAACCCACAGAUUAUCGAAGCUACUUUACUCUGAGUGUUUUCUCUACAAUCUACAACAGGGAGCUCUUUUCGUGCUUCCCAACACGUCGGAACUGUUAGAAGUCGUCCAGAACUUUUGAGUAUAACUUAGUUUCUCCCAAUACGAAUAAAAUCUACUACAAACCCUACUGUACUUGUUAAGGUCUAACCUGGAUUAUGACCGAGGGAAGUUCAGUUUGUUACGUUUACCGUUACGCUAGGAACACUGCUGGUCUAUAGAUAGGCAACGUUUUUCCUAUCCUUGUUGACUUGGACAAAACAAUACACGAGACCCUCUACGGCUAAAAACCAAUGACAAGUUUCGUGCUCGUAAAACACUACUCUUUAUACUUCCUUUAGAUUGUUUAUAACCUGCCCUUUAUCGUCCGUUCGAUUUUCCGUUGGGUAAUCGUCGUCAUUGACGUCCCCUUGAUAAUUCUCAACUAGAAUGUCAACUAGUGACCUGAUUUUAAGAGUUCCUCCUUCUAACCUUUAACAACCCCGAGUCACUUCCAUAGUACAGAAGAAACUUCGAAUCGAUACUAGUUGACGGCAUGGUAAAUGUGGUUACGAAGAGCAUGACAAGAUAUAAGAGACUAUUAGUAACCAAAGAAGCACUUCUCAACCAUGUGUACACCUAAAGUGUUCCUAAACAGUUCGUCUCGGUAGGUUCAUUCUCUAACCUCCUCUAUCCUUACCUGAUAAACCGUCUAAACCACUUGGACCCGAUAAAAGUUGUUCUACCUUAUCUUUUAAGUAUACAACACAGACCAGAAUACGUACUAAAACGUUCCUACCAAAAAUCUCGACUCACACCCCAACAUCUACCAUACGUUACGUUACUAUACAAUGGGUGACAUGUUGUAAACCGCUAUCAAAUGUUCUCUCUAGUCGUACCAAUGUACAGAACAUCCUCGUUCAAACUUCUUCUAAACUCUUUACGUCAAUGUAGGCACUCUUUUGACUCCUGUAACCACAAUUAUUCCCUUAGGUCGACAAGGACAAAGGUCAGGAAGCCACUGUAUAAGGUCUUCCGUGUACUAUGUGCAGAAGAUGUAUAUAGAAGUUCUAAACGUCUUAAAUUAGGGGAGUACACGUCAAGACAUUUAGGAUAAGUAGAAGCGAUACAUUUUGAACUACCCACACCUCUAAACGGAGUCCAAAACUCGUCAAAAACGGUGGAGGUUCAUAAUGUAGAGCCCAGUCUGUGACCAGAAUUACACGGACUACCGUACUUAUUAGAACAGUCAAACGCCGUAGAAAAACGUGGAAGGUUAAGGUAACGAUCUUAACCGUCUAAUUGGAGUGAAGUCUGUGAUUUGUUAAAGGCGCAUGUUCUAAGAUUACCGAAAGUCUAAUGUCUCGAAGUUGGGUACUUACUAGAACGGGUUGAACCCUAAAGACCUGAAGGUUUACAAUUUUGAGUCCUCCUCCGAACGCCCCAUCCCGACUCUAUAUUUGCUAUGAAUCUUUUCGACGUGAACAGGACCUUAUACAGUCUACAACUUAGGCUGAGUCUACCGUCGUUACUUAGACUGAGUCUACUGUCGUUACUUAGAUUCUUACAGUACUCGAGACUUGGAAGAUGGUCGUUUCUUUGUCUCCUCACGAACGGUUGUCUCCAUGAACUCCCAGAUUUUGGUGUAAUGUUGGACUUUGUAGAAGUCUAUUGACCCAUGUUACCACGACGGAGAGGUAGGACCGAACGAGCGUUAUAGAGACAAUGGACAAAUGUCUGAGACAUAAACUUACCGACACCUCUUACCGCCUAUGAAGGUAGAAACUCUCCCGAAGGCAAAGAACGUUUAAAUUUCAACUCUUUGUACGGUUUUCAUCUUCUUCAUACCCAAGAAAGUAACUUCUUCAACCACAAUCAAUUUUACGGUUUCAACCUCUCUACGAGUACGCAAAGGAACUCCCUGAACUUAAGAACAAAUUCCCAAGACUUCUAAUUCGUAACGGGACGUGACUUCCACAAACUAGAGAAACCCUUACCGGUACUUAAGUUUUAACUCGUCUUCAGUACCAACGGUGCGGAAACACUCGAGUGAGAUUUCUUGACAGCAGACAACCACCAUGGUAUGGGAAAUGGUAGACGUUCAUGACAGACAUCAUAAAGGCACUCGUCUCAGAGUUUUAAAGGUUGUUAUCUUCAUACCAGGACGGCAAAUUGGUAUCCACUCCUAUAAAAACCCGCACAUGGAAACAUACUCCUAAUAAAAUUGUUCAAAUGACUACUCGACAAGCACAAUCUACCUUUAUAAAACCGUAAGGUAUUAGAUUCUAAGGACUGUGUCAACUAUUAUCCAACAACGGUUUUUGAUUGCAGAUAAAGUGAGUUUCCUAAUUCAGUUGAACUUAGUAAUUUCUGUGACUUUUAUUUCCCGACACGGUCCGAAAGGCCAGAGCUACGAGGUGGUCUCGUACGGGAGGGUAGUGAGCUUAUAGAUCUCUAACCCCGUACACCUUAUCGCACCCUCACCGAUAGAGACUAAGACGUUGUACGCGGUCGUGAUUGCCUUAACCUAAAUACCCUGACGGGUUUUGACCCAAGAGAUGUUGACUUGAGGACGUGCUGUGACGUUUUCAACUCGCAUCUAUAGAAACUUAGCGAGCCGUGUGAUCUCGACGUGAAAACGUGCCGUAACCUUCUAAACAAGUAGACACUUCGACGUCAGACGCACGAUCUCCCGAGCGUUAGUGAGUCCUUCAACGCUGAGGUACUGUCGGUAAUAAACCUUAGAGAUUUUGACGUGAGGACGUGCCGUGACCUUCUCAACCUAUAAGCCUCGACAUGUAGUGAGACAUGUGAUCUCCCGAAAGUUAGGGAACCGUCGGAGUCCGCAAACAUAGAUGCACUAACGGGACCGAACGUAAGUAAAAACCUCCCAAACGGUCUCGUUCUAAUGUUAAAUACGGGAGCUGACCUUAAAGAACUAUAGUCACCGAAGAGAAAGGAACGGUGUGGCAAGACGUUCGUUGAGUGCAGUGAGGUCGCGGAUCAAAAAACACCAAACCUACCUCUUUUUUGUCUUCUUCCUGAUUGUCUACUCGUUCUCUCUCCCGAAGACGAGGAGCCAAGGGAGUGUCUCGAGCUUAAACUCUGAAUACGCGUAGAACUUAUAGAAGGGCGUUCGGACGUGUCUGAAGCGAGGGAGGUCCACAACCUCUAAAGUAAAACAGGCUCGUAGAGUCCUAACGGCCUGGAGGGCGGAAGAGAACUCCUCAACUCUUAGAAGGUACCGUCACUCCUCGACUUUGUAGUUAGGUAUAGCGCCCGUAGUUCGUUCAAUUUCCAGUUUUAACUGCCGGUUAUACACUUAACUAAUGAGCCACCGAACAAUUCGUGUUGGACGUGUCGUCUGUAUCAACGUGUGAACAUGACGAAAACUCUAUAUCAACGUGUCGGUAGGGAGGGAGCUCCAACCUCUAGACUUCUAUAGUCUAACACAGUUCCGACGACCUUUACCCGGAGGGUGGAAGUGACCUUCUCAACCUGUAGAACGAAACGUCACUCCAGGACUUGCUAGUUACAUCUUACGAGUGUUGUUCGUUCGAUUUCCAAACGACGGAACAGUUGAGCAUCGUCAGUUAAAGGACAGGUUUUCUUUUCUAUCAUCAGUUGUCCUCGAGACUCUGUGUUAAAGACUUUUACGUAGCACAAUAAGUAGUGUUCAACCGGACUUGUACGUAAUCCAACAAGUAGUGUUCAACCGGACUUCUUCGAAUGUUUUGAAAGGCCUUUAUGUGACGUCGAUAUGAUUACGUGAAAUACAAAGACUUGAGGUGGAGAAUCCAGAAUCGGUCGUAUACAACGAGGCAGUCUUAAGACCUACACAGUCGCCUGUGGACUAAUUAGGUAUCUAGACUUGUACGUUGGAACGACCCAAACCGAUGUUUAAAACGAGCAACAUUAUGUAAGAUUCCUUAAGUAAAACAAAACCCCAAAGAAAACACUACGGUGUUACGGUUGUACAACACGAAG